rnacentral:rRNA from 1 species
UACGGGGGGGCAAGCGUUGUUCGGAAUUACUGGCGUAAAGGGCGCGUAGGCGGCCUGCUAAGUCGGAUGUGAAAUCCCUCGGCUCAACCGAGGAACUGCAUCCGAUACUGGCGGGCUUGAAUCCGGGAGAGGGAGUGUGGAAUUCCAGGUGUAGCGGUGAAAUGCGUAGAUAUCUGGAGGAACACCGGUGGCGAAGGCGGCAUCCUGGACCGGUAGUUGACGCUGAGGCG